rnacentral:rRNA from 1 species
CCUACGGGAGGCAGCAGUGGGGAAUAUUGCACAAUGGGGGAAACCCUGAUGCAGCGACGCCGCGUGAGUGAAGACGUCUUUCGGUAUGUAAAGCUCUAUCAGCAGGGAAGAAAUAGCGACCUUUGGGUCGCCAUACGGUACCUGAUUAAAAAGCACCGGCUAACUUCGUGCCAGCAGCCCCGGUAUUACGUAGGGGGCAAGCGUUAUCCGGAUUUACUGGGUGUAAAUGGAGCGUAGACGGCAGCGCAAGUCUGAAGUGAAAUGCCUGGGAUUAACCCCGGAACUGCUUUGGAAACUGUGGAGCUAGAGUGCAGGAGAGGUAAGUGGAAUUCGUAGUGUAGCGGUGAAAUGCGUAGAUAUUAGGAGGAACACCAGUGGCGAAGGCGGCUUACUGGACUGUAACUGACGCUGAGGCUCGAAAGCGUGGGGAGCAAACAGGAUUAGAUACCCCUGUAGUC